GACGAACGCUGGCGGCGUGCUUAACACAUGCAAGUCGAACGGAAAGGCCCUGCUUUUGUGGGGUGCUCGAGUGGCGAACGGGUGAGUAACACGUGAGUAACCUGCCCUUGACUUUGGGAUAACUUCAGGAAACUGGGGCUAAUACCGGAUAGGAGCUCCUGCUGCAUGGUGGGGGUUGGAAAGUUUCGGCGGUUGGGGAUGGACUCGCGGCUUAUUAGCUUGUUGGUGGGGUGGUGGCUUACCAAGGCUUUGACGGGUAGCCGGCCUGGGAGGGUGACCGGCAACAGUGGGACUGAGAUACGGCCCAGACCCAGACGGGAGGCAGCAGUGGCAGAUAUUGCAAAAGGGGCGGAAGCCUGAUGCAGCAACGCCGCGUGCGGGAUGGCGGCGUUCGGGUUGGAAACCGCUUUCGCCUGUGACGAAGCGUGAGUGACGGUAAUGGGUAAAGAAGCACCGGCUAACUACGUG
rnacentral:rRNA from 1 species